UACGUAGGGUGCGAGCGUUGUCCGGAUUUAUUGGGCGUAAAGAGCUUGUAGGCGGCUCGUCGCGUCGGGUGUGAAAACUUGCGGCUUAACCGCAAGCCUGCACCCGAUACGGGCGGGCUAGAGUUCGGUAGGGGAGAAUGGAAUUCCCGGUGUAGCGGUGAAAUGCGCAGAUAUCGGGAGGAACACCGGUGGCGAAGGCGGUUCUCUGGGCCUUACCUGACGCUGAGGAGCGAAAGCGUGGGGAGCGAACAGG
rnacentral:rRNA from 1 species